CCCAAAAGCGGAGGAAAAGAAACUAACAAGGAUUCCCCUAGUAACUGCGAGUGAAGCGGGAAAAGCUCAAAUUUAAAAUCUGGUGGUCUUUGGCCAUCCGAGUUGUAAUCUAGAGAAGUGUUAUCCGCGCUGGACCGUGUACAAGUCCCCUGGAAUGGGGCGUCAUAGAGGGUGAGAAUCCCGUCUUUGACACGGACUACCAGGGCUUUGUGAUGCACUCUCAAAGAGUCGAGUUGUUUGGGAAUGCAGCUCAAAAUGGGUGGUAAAUUCCAUCUAAAGCUAAAUAUUGGCGAGAGACCGAUAGCGAACAAGUACCGUGAGGGAAAGAUGAAAAGAACUUUGGAAAGAGAGUUAAACAGUACGUGAAAUUGUUGAAAGGGAAACGCUUGAAGUCAGUCGCGUCUGCCAGGGAUCAACCUUACUUUUGUGAGGCGUACUUCCUGGUUGAUGGGUCAGCAUCAGUUUUGGUCGCUGGAUAAAGGUCAGAGAAAUGUGGCACCUUCGGGUGUGUUAUAGUCUUUGAUCAGAUACAGUGGCUGGGACUGAGGAACUCAGCGCCGCAAGGCUGUCUUAGGAUGCUGGCAAAAUGGCUUUAAUCGACCCGUCUUGAAACACGGCCAAAGGGGAGGUCA
rnacentral:rRNA from 1 species